GUGCGAGUAAAGGUGGAGCCGAUGGUGACAACAGACACAACAGAGUUCAUCACUUCAGAGCAAAAGCUUUCCAGGUCCUGACAGACCACUAAGAUGAACUAAUAGGUGUGAAAUUGCCUGUGAAGCGACAUCUCAGCUGCAUCAGUAUCUGCUGACAUUAUACCUUUUGUCACAAUGAUCAAGCCCCCACUCUGCAUCAGAUCUCCUUUCAAGUUUCCCUGGAUUCCUGCAGCGCCAGCCUGAAGGAAGCAAAACACGCCCAAGCUCCUCUGGUCCGACUCCCACCAGGGAGACCCCGUUGGCCCGGAGUUCAGGCUCCAGCUUGCUGAUCUCUGACGCCAUCCAUC